rnacentral:lncRNA from 1 species
GUGAUCGUGUCUGGGGCUGCCUGACGCAUCCUAUCUCCUCAGACAGGCCCCAACAGCCCCUGCUGGAGGCUCCAAUGCUCUUCCUGGGAUCAACUGCUCCUAGAAGAGAAGCAGGACCCUCUGUCACCCCCAACCCCACCUUGACUGUCACCAAAGAAGAAGCCAGAGAAGGGAGCCCCCCACUACUGUGGCCUAGGAGCUUGGAAGACAAUGCUGAGACAGACAUCUGAGCUGUGGGCUCCCCAAAUCUGCCAGCAAAGGACUCUCAAGGAUGGAUCAGGAAUAGAAGCUCCGGAGCCCGGGACAUAGGAACAGCUCUACUUUCCCUUUCAUUUCAUUCAAUAAAACCCAAAAGAAACUCCUUCCUCCCCCUCCUCC